CAUACAUACAGGGAGCACACAACAUUCAGCUUCCACAAAAGUAUUAACUUUGAUGCCAUUGUGUCAAUGAAUUUGAUUGGCCUUUGUUCAGUUCUUACCCUAAAUGUAGUUCUUCUCUCAAACCCUUCAAAACUUUCAUGAGCUGAUACCUCCAAUUUUAAAUAUUUUCUUUCAGGUAAAGCUGUUUUUUUUCAAGCAGUGUUUUCCAGCCUCAAGCAAAUAGGUGACAUCAGAGGUAGGAUGAUGUCCUCAAGAGAGGAAAUUAGUGGAUCUCUCAAGUAUUACAUGCCCUCAGUAUAGGACCAGUUCAGUGCUCUCUGAUGGCAGCUCUUCAGCAACUGUGACACUCCUACCCCAGAUCUGGAAAGAUACCCCAUUUACAAUAUGUAUCUGGAAAAAUGAACAUGGAGAGUUUAGUUCAGCAUACGUUAGAGAUAUGUUCUGCGUCUGUAUAAUAUAUGUAUAACUAUAAUAUUGUAGUUAGCAAACAGCUUUCUUAAAACUGAUAAGGCUGUUAAAAACUUCUAACUCUUUUUGGAGGAUCCUCUGAACUAGUUAGAAUACCUUAAAGGGACUGGAAUAAUGAAAAUUCUUCCUUUACAGUAUUUCUACAGACAUGUAGUGCAUGGAUAUACACAUGAAUCCAAGUGCUUUACUAAAAUAGGUGAUCCUGCUCUAGCCAGGGGGAGUUGGACUAGAUGAUCUUCAGAAGUCCCUGCCAACCCUGAUGACUGUGAUAGUCAAGGAGAAGUCUCUAAAAAUAAGGACAAUCUGAAACUCAACAGGACAAGGAGAGAGGGAGAAUCUGAACCUCAUAUUUCCUGCAUAUCUUGAGGAUUGUUCCAAUGCUGGAACUCCAUGCCCUGGAGAAACUGAAGAGAGUGACCCUGCAGAUGUACGCUGGUGUCCUUGCCAA